UUCAAUUCUUCUUCUCUUCCCCCCCCCCCCUUUUUUCCUUUUUUUCUGUAGAAGUCUAUGUCAGAUUUCCAAUCUGGCAAUGGUUCCUCCCAUAAUUCAAAAGGAAUUGCGCUCGAAUGAGAAACCCGAAGGAAGUGAAAUUAGAAGGAGAGAGAUAGAGAUAGAGAGAGAGAUUAGUAAGGGAAAAAUGUGAUUCAAUUGUAUUUUCAGAUACCCACUUUAGCGGUAUGAGCUGGCUUAUAUACCCUCCUCAAGGAGGCGCCAAUCAUUUGAAUUACAAGCUGCUAACUACCAGCUUCUACACACUUCUAUAUUCCAACUGCCUACCCCCUUUAUUACAACAUUACCCCUUCGACUAAUAGGCGCCCUUGCCCUUGUCCGUGACAAUUCCCCUCCCCUUAGGAUUCUUCUUGUCCUCAAGAAGAGUUUAUAGGAGUCCUACUGCCCUCGGAAAUUGCUGGAGUAAGUCUGGUAGAUACUCCCAAGUGUUGUUUUCCGGAUGGAGGUUGGACCGGUGGACUAGCACUUGAGUGAGGGGAAGGUUCUGUUUGUAUAUCACUCGUUUAUCCACGAUAGCGACAGGUUUAGCUACCUGUUGUGAUGCUUGAGCAACCAGGGGUAGAGUUGCACUCAUUGGGUUGGUACAAAGAGAUGGUUUGAGGAGAGAGACAUGGAAAACGGGAUGAAUGGAAGUCUCUGCUGGAAGUUGUAAUCGAUACACUGUUUUGCCCACCCAAGCUAACACUUCAUACGGCCCAUAGAAUUUAGGACUGAGUUUGGACACUGCCGUUGGUGAGAGAGUCUUCAAUUGUGCUUGCCUCAGUUUCAGAUAAACCUGGUCCCCAAUUGAGAAGUUUCGUUCACUCCGCUUUUUGCCAGCGUAUUGCUUCAUUCGGUUUUGGGCGCUUGCCCAUUCCCUCUUUAGUGUCUGCAUCACUUGUUGCCUUUGAGUGAGAUAAUCAUCCACUGUGGCUACCAAGUUGAGGCCUCCACUGAUAGGUAGUAGUGGUGGUUUGUAGCCGAAUAAGGCCUCAAACGAGGUCAUUUUCAAGGAUGAGUGGUAGUUGGUGUUGUACCACCAUUGUGCCAAAGGCAGCCACUUGUGCCACCUUGUGGACUGCACCAAGCACACACACCGAAGGUAGGUCUCAAGGCAUUGAUUCACUCGUUCCGUCUAUCCAUCCGUUUUCGGAUGAUAUGCUGAUGACAUGGUACCGAGUGAUUUCAUGAGCUCCCUCCAUAGUAAGUUGGUGAAGACUUUGUCUCGAUUGGUCACAAUGACUUGAUCUAGGAACACUCGUGCCACUUCUUGGGCUAUGAAGGGAUGAGUUAGACUUAAGAAAUGGCUGUAUUUGGUGAGUCUGUCCACGAUUAUCAAUAUGCAGUCUUUGCCCUCUGAUUUGGGUAAUCCUUCCACGAAGUCCAUACUGAUGCUGGACCAUGCUUGCUCCGGUCGAGGCAAUGGUUGCAGUAGCCCUGGAGGGUGAAUGUUCUCAUGUGUACACCGGCUGCAAAUGUCACAGCUCUUUAUGUAACUCUGCACUGCCUUAUUCAACCCCGGCCAAUAGAACAAUUGCUGUACUCUGUUAUAUGUGCUUUGGACCCCAGAAUGGCCUCCUACGGGCGAAUCAUGCAGUGCUGUUAGGAUCUUCCUUCGUAGCAGCUCGUCACCUCCAAUUACCAGCUUCUCUUUGUACCUUAGUAGCCCAUUCCUUAGUGAAUAGCCCAGUUUGCUCGUGGGGUCUAGUGUCAGUUGCUCCAUUAGAUCCUUGGUCUAUUCUACUUUCUCGUAACUGGCUACUUCCUCUAGGUGCCAUUCUGGUAUGACAGAAUUCAUGGCUGCCGUUGUUCCUUCCUCCAUACAGCGGGAAAGGGCAUCGGCUGCUUUGUUCUCGUGUCCUUUCCUGUAUUGAAUGGUGUAAUCAAGACUCAUGAGCUUAGACAUACAUUUCCUUUGGAGGUGUGUGUGUAGCUUCAGUUGCAAUAGGAAUUUCAAGCUUUCAUGAUCAGUUCGAAUAAUGAUCUUACUCCCUUCCAAAUAAUGCCUCCACUUUUCUACUGCUAUCAAAACCGCCAGUAGUUCUUUCUCGUAUACAUUCAGGCCGAGGUGCUUUGGUGCUAAAGCCUAGCUGAUGAAGGCUAUGGGCCUUCCUCCCUGAGCCAACACUGCUCUAACUCCAUAGUUGCUGGCAUCAGUUUCUAAAACAAACGGUUGAUUAAAAUCAGGGAGCUUCAAUGUAUGAACCUUACUCAUGGCUUUCUUCAGUUGAUCAAAGGUAGCUUCAGCUGUUUCAUCCCAACAGAAUCCUUCUUUUUUUAAGCAACUCAGUUAAUGGCUUGCUGAUGAUGUUGUAAUUUUUAACAAAUCGCCUGUAAUAACCCGUAAGGCCCAAGAAUCCCUGCAAACUCUUCACGUUAGUCGGUCGUGGCCAGGCAUUCAUUGCUGCAACCUUUUGGGGUUCAGUGCUCACCCCCUUUUUUGAUAUAACAUGGCUUAGAUAUUCCACCUGGGUUUGUGCAAAGGCACAUUUGGACUUCUUGAUGAACAACUUAUUGAAUCUAAGGAUUUGCAAGGUCAUCCGUAAGUGCUUUAUGUGUUUAGGGAAGUUGGGGCUGUAAAUUAGGAUAUCAUCAAAGAAAACCAGAAUGAAUUGGCGAAUAUAGGGUUCGAAUAUCUGAUUCAUGAGGGCUUGGAAAGUUGCUGGUGCGUUAGUUAAACCGAAAGGCAUUACUAAGAAUUCGUAGUGCCUUUGGUGAGUCCUAAAGGCUGCUUUGUGGAUAUCUUGGGGGCUCAUACAAAUUUGUUGAUAUCCUGAAUGGAGGUCGAGUUUGGAGAAAACUUUGGCUCCAUGUAACUCAUCUAAUAGGUCCUCUAUGAUAGGAAUAGGGAACUUAUUCUUUAUGGUAAGGGAGUUGAGUUGGCGGUAGUCUAUGCAAAACCGCCAACUGCCGUCCUUCUUUUAGACUAAGAGAAGAGGAGAGGCAUAUGGGCUGAUGUUGGGUCGAAUGACUGAUUGCUGAAGCAUUUCCUUAAUCAUGCAUUCAAUCUCAGCCUUUUGUUUUGGGGGAUACCGGUAAGAACGAAUGUUAAUCGGCUCGGAAUUGGGUUUAAGGUUUAUGGUGUGGUCUAAUGGUCUGGGAGGGGGUAGAGCUUUCGGUUCUUCAAACAAAUCCUUAAAUUCAGCUAAGAGUUCAUCAAGUAAGUCCAGUUGAGUUACCUCCUGAGGGAUGGAGCCAUUCUUCGUUGCUUCCAGUUUGAGUUUCCCACCAUAGUCCGGUUCUUCCUCCUCCUGCUCAAUUGCUUGUAUCGAGAACAAUUGAGCCACCUGGGUCCACUUGCUUUUAAAUAGCUUAUGUAGUCUUUUGAUGCGGUCACCAAUCAAGACCCGGCCCAAAGCUGACUCUCGACCACGCCGGAACAAUAUUUUAAUACUUCUUAAGUUUUUAGAAUUCUACUUGAUUUAGGAUUCAAUUUCAUAUUUCUACUUGAUUUAGGAUUCUACUUCAUGUUGGAUUAAGAUUUAUUUCUAUUAGGAUUCUAGUUGGAUUUUGUUUUCCAAAUAUUAGAUGGAUUUGGAUUAGCCAAAUACUAUAAAUAUGCCUAGGAUCUAGAGUUUGUAAUCAAGUUUUUCUUAAUCAAAUUUCAGCAACCUAUUUAGGUUUUCUUAGCAAAACAGUCUUGUUUUUGCGUCUUCUUGAAAGCCAAGCUUCGGCCAUUGAAGUUUGCUCUUUCAAGGGUUUAUUUUGGUGUGUUUUCUUCACACUCGCGCUACACGCUGCGUCAGGUGGUAUCAGAGCGGUUAAUCAACCAAUCAGAUGGCCAAUCUUGAAGGUAACGGUAGCAACCAGCCUCGUGACGGUGAUCAGGGGUUGUCCGCAGUUUGGAGAGCAAUUGAAGAACAGCGGGAAGUAACUCGUACUAUCCAGCAGCGAUUGGAGCAACAUAGCAACCAAUUGGGCACCUUACUACGAGUUGAUGAUGACAGGAACCUGAAUAAUGGGGUGAAUCAAGCCGGAGCGGGAAGACCACCUAUUAAUCAUGUCCUUGUUAAUCCUAGAAGACCAGUGAUUGAAGAUAGCGAUGAAGAGGAUGAUUUUGGUCGAGCAAUAGCUAACCCUGGUGGUAGAGGGGUUAGGAGGAAUGCGCAUCAGCACAACCACUGGAGCAACGAUGAGUAUAAACUAAAAGUUGAUACUCCCACCUUUAGUGGAGAUCUUGAUAUUGAGGGGUUCCUGGAUUGGAUCACUGAGGUUGACCGUUUUUUCGAAUACAUGGAGAUCCCAGAUGAACGACAAGUAAAGUUAGUGGCUUACAGGUUGAAGGGCGGUGCAUCUGUUUGGUGGGAGCGAUUAAGAGAAACGAGAUUGAGGGAAGGCCGACAGCCAGUUCAGACAUGGAGACGAAUGAAGCAACUGUUAAGAGGUAGGUUUUUGCCCCCUGACUAUGAACAAUAUAUGUUUGAAGCUUAUCAAAGAUGUGCACAGGGAAUGAAGAGUGUGAAUGAAUAUACCUCUGAGUUUUUACGAUUAGCGGAGAGAAACCAAUUGUCAGAAAGUGACAAUCAACAAGCAGCUCGUUACUUGAAUGGAUUGAAGCCUGCUAUUCGUGAUAAAAUUGGAGUUCAGAUGGUUCUAAGUGUGCAAGAAGCAAGGAACUUAGCUUUAAAAGCUGAGUUAAUGUUGAGUGAGAGAUCUCGUAAUGACACCUAUCGUCGGUAUAAUGGGAAUGAAAAUAAACAACCAGUUUUUGAUAAAGGUAAGUCGGUUCAAGGAGCGCAACCCUCCAAUCCACCCCAUACAGUCAACCCUAAUAAGGCUACAACGGGGGGAAACAUUCGAGGUACUACUUCUAAUCUUCCAAAAUCCCCUAAUCCUUAUGCAAAGCCUAUUCUUUUAAAAUGUUUCAAGUGCAAUGAGGUUGGGCAUCGAUCUAGUGAUUGUCCAAGGAGGAAAACAGUUAACAUUGUUGAAAAGGCAGAGGAAGAUGUUGCUGAAGAGGAAGUAUAUUGCGGGCCUGAUGGGGAGGAUGAUGAAGAAGAUUAUGGACAUGGGCAAUAUACCUGUGUAGUGAGGAAGUUAAUGCUAUCUCAAAAGAAUGAAGAUACUACUCAACGGCAUAAACUUUUUCGCACGAGGUGUACAGUGAAAGGAAAAAUCUUUGAGUUGAUUAUUGAUAGUGGAAGUCAGGAGAACAUCAUAGGAAGAGACGUGGUGGCAAAGAUGCAGUUAACUCCUGAAAAACAUCCAAGCCCUUACAUGAUUGGAUGGAUCAAAGAAGUUGGUGGCAUACAUGUGAAUGAACGUUGCAGGGUGCCUUUCUCUAUCGGUAAGUACUCCGACGAAGUCUAUUGUGAUAUUGUUGAUAUGGAUGCUUGCCAUAUUUUAUUUGGGAGGCCUUGGCAAUUUGAUGUGGAUGCUAAGCACUCGGGUAGGAAGAACACAUAUCAGCUUGAGACAGAAGGUGUGCGUUAUACUUUGUUACCUAUAGUGGAAAAGAAUCAAACCAAAACUUCUAAAGUGGAGGGGCGAAAUUUUCUUACCAUUACACAUAAACACACAGAGUUUGUGAGGGAGUGUAAGGAUACUCGAGAGGUUCACUUAUUGGUUAUCAAGGGAGAGAGUGUGAGUGAGCUACUGAAGGUAAAUCAAAUUCCAGUGGAGGUGCAGGGAUUGUUGGAGGAAUUUCAUGAUGUGGUUCCUGAGGAGUUGCCUAAUGAGCUACCUCCUAUGAGAGAUAUUCAACACCACAUUGACUUGGUUCCUGGUGCUAGCUUGCCUAACCUACUACACUACAGGAUGAGUCCUAGGGAGAAUGAGAUUUUGCGUGAGCAGGUAGAGGAAUUGUUGAGAAAAGGGCACAUUCAGACUAGCAUGAGUCCAUGUGCAGUGCCAGCAUUAUUGACACCAAAGAAAGAUGGGAGUUGGAGGAUGUGUGUUGACAGUAGAGCCAUCAACAAAAUUACUAUUGGGUACAAAUUUCCAAUUCCUAGGCUCGACGACAUGCUUGAUCAACUUGAUGGGGCUGUGAUUUUUUCCAAAAUUGACCUUAGAAGUGGUUAUCAUCAAAUUAGAAUUCGACCUGGAGAUGAGUGGAAGACAGUUUUCAAGACAAGAGAUGGGUUGUUUGAGUGGUUAGUCAUGCCCUUUGGACUAACCAAUGCACCAAGCACUUUCAUGAGACUAAUGAACCAAGUAUUACGCCCUUUCAUUGGUAAAUUCGUUGUGGUGUAUUUUGAUGAUAUUUUGAUAUACAGUAAGUCUAUUAAUGAGCAUGAGGGGCAUAUUCGAGAGGUGUUGAGUGUGUUGAGGGAAAACAAACUUUAUGCUAAUUUGAAGAAGUGUACUUUUAUGAGUGAGAGCUUGUUGUUCUUGGGCUUUGUUAUAAGUAAAGAGGGCGUAAAGGUAGAUGAGGAAAAAGUGCGAGCUAUUAGAGGGUGGCCAACUCCUAAAAAUGUCAGUGAUGUGCGAAGUUUCCAUGGGUUAGCAACUUUCUAUAGGCGGUUUAUCAAACACUUUAGUAGUAUUGUGGCUCCAAUUACUGAGUGUUUAAAGAAAGGAAAGUUCCAUUGGGGUGAAGAACAAGAGCAAAGUUUCACCUUGAUAAAAGAUAAAUUAUGUACCGCUCCUGUCUUAGCUUUGCCAAGCUUUGACAAAUUGUUUGAGGUUGAGUGUGAUGCGAGUGGAGUGGGUAUAGGUGCUGUGUUGUCCCAAGAGAAGAGACCAAUUGCAUUUUUCAGUGAGAAGUUGUGUGAAGCCAGAAGAAAGUGGUUUACUUAUGAUAAGGAGUUUUAUGCAGUAGUGAGGGCUCUUAAGAUAUGGGAACAUUACUUGAUUGCCAAAGAAUUUGUUCUUUACACGGAUCACCAAGCUCUUAAGUACUUGAGUAGCCAAAGGCAAUUGAGGAGUGAUAUGCUAGAUGGUCUGCUUUUAUUGAUAAAUUUCCAUAUAAAAUUGUACAUAAGUCGGGACAACAUAAUCGAGUGGCAGACGCUUUGAGUAGGCGUGUGGAUUUGAUCAAGACCCUUAGUGUUGAGAUUGUUGGGUUUGAGUGCUUGAAAGAAUUAUAUGCGACAGACGAGGAUUUCAAACAUGUGUGGGAACAAUGCAUGUCUCAGCAACCAUCAGGAGAUUUUUAUGUGCAUGAUGGGUUUCUCAUGAAGGGAAAUCAGUUGUGCAUCCCUUGCACAUCUCUUCGUGAGAAAAUUAUUCAGGAUUUGCAUGGUGGUGGCUUAGCAGGGCAUCUUGGCAGAGACAAGACUAUUGAAGCUGUUAUGGGAAGGUAUUAUUGGCCAAGAGCAAGGAGAGAUGUUUCUAUUAUUGUGGCGAGGUGUUAUAUAUGUCAAACAGUUAAGGGGCACUCUUCUAACGCCGGUCUUUACAUGCCAUUGCCUGUUCCCAAUGCUAUUUGGGAAGAUUUGUCUAUGGACUUCGUGUUGGGUCUACCGCGAACCCAACGAGGUAUGGAUUCUGUUUUUGUAGUGGUUGACAGGUUUUCCAAGAUGGCGCACUUUCUCCCAUGCAAGAAGACGGCAGAUGCAGUAGCUACAGCCAAACUGUUUUUCAAGGAGAUUGUUAGACUACAUGGAGUCCCUAAAACUAUUACUUCGGAUCGUGAUACAAGGUUUUUGAGUCACUUCUGGAUUACCUUGUGGAGAAUGUUCGAUUCAUCUUUGAAUUUCAGUAGCACAGCACAUCCCCAGACUGAUGGACAAACAGAGGUGGUGAAUCGUACCUUAGGAAAUCUGAUUCGCAGUGUUUGCAAAGACAAGCCAAGACAAUGGGACCUAGUCAUAGCUCAAGCAGAAUUUGCCUACAACAACACCGUACAUAGCUCAACAGGAAGAUCACCAUUCUCUAUCGUAUACAUGAAAGUUCCUAAUCAUGCAUUGGAUUUGGUAAAAUUGCCAAAGGUACCAGGUUUCAGUGUUGCAGCCAGUGACUUAGCCGAACACGUUCAAGCAGUUCAGGAAGAUGUCAGGCAAAAGUUGCACGAAGCGAAUAAGAAGUACAAGGCAGCAGCUGACAAGCAUAGGAAGCACAAGGUAUUUGCGGUUGGAGAUGAAGUCAUGAUAUUCUUGAAAAAGGAACGGAUUCCUACAGGACAACAGAACAAGCUCAAGCCAAAGAAGUAUGGUCCUUACAAGAUUACAAAGAAGAUCAAUGAUAAUGCUUAUGUUGUGGAUUUGCCAAAUCAUAUGGGUAUUUCCAAAACAUUCAAUGUUGCUGAUCUUUCUUUGUAUUUGCCGGACGUUGAGUUGUCAUACCCAGAUCAUAAUUCGAGGACGAAUUCUUCUCAAGUGGAGGUGAAUGAUGCGGUCACCAAUCAAGACCCGGCCCAAAGCUGACUCUCGACCACGCCGGAACAAUAUUUUAAUACUUCUUAAGUUUUUAGAAUUCUACUUGAUUUAGGAUUCAAUUUCAUAUUUCUACUUGAUUUAGGAUUCUACUUCAUGUUGGAUUAAGAUUUAUUUCUAUUAGGAUUCUAGUUGGAUUUUGUUUUCCAAAUAUUAGAUGGAUUUGGAUUAGCCAAAUACUAUAAAUAUGCCUAGGAUCUAGAGUUUGUAAUCAAGUUUUUCUUAAUCAAAUUUCAGCAACCUAUUUAGGUUUUCUUAGCAAAACAGUCUUGUUUUUGCGUCUUCUUGAAAGCCAAGCUUCGGCCAUUGAAGUUUGCUCUUUCAAGGGUUUAUUUUGGUGUGUUUUCUUCACACUCGCGCUACACGCUGCGUCAUCUUUUUCCUGAAAUAAGUUUGCAAGUACCAGCCUCUGCACCGCUAGUGAUAGUCAUUCGUCUUCCCCCUUUGUUGAAAGUGACUUCCAUUUUCUUAAAAUCAAAGCAAAUGGGGCUUACUUCUCUCAUCCAAUCCACGCCUAAGACCAUAUCGCAACCUCCUAACCAGAGAAGUCUUAGGUUAGCUUCGAAGUUUUCCCCCUGCAUCUGCUAACAAAAUCCCAUGCAUGCAGACUUACAAAUCACCUUUUGUCCAUUAGCCACCGUAAUAAACAGUGGAAGUGUCCUGGUGAGUCGACAAUGGAGCCUCUUAGCUACUCUUUCAUCCAGGAAGCUAUGUGUGCUUCCGCUGUCAAUGAGUAUAGACAGGUCAUCCUCCUGUGCCUUACCAUCUACUUUUAUGAUUUUACUUGUGGAUACUCCCCUUAGCGCAUGGAGAGAAAUCUCCAUUUUCUCUUCAUCUCUUUCGUUCUCUUGGGUCUCUACUUCUUCAACCUCUUCUUCGCCAUCCUCUGUUCUUUCUAGUAGCAGUAAUUGGCGUUUGCAUUGAUGGCCUGGAGUGUACUUGUCUCCACACCUGAAACAAAGUCUUGCUAACCUCUUAUGUUCUCUCAAACUGUUCCCAAACGAUGGAGAUGGAGCUGGCAAAGCUAACGCCUUACCGUUGAUCCCCCUGUUCCUCUUUCCUUAUUCCACCCCCUGUUACUCUGUUGAAUAGGCACCUGCCAUCCUCUACUCACCCCAUUCUACUUCUUCGAUAAUGCCUCUAUCGCUAGUUCUUGCAGCUUAGCGCACUCCGUAGCCUACUGUACUGUUUUCGGUUGAAACAUUUUCACUAUGGGGCGGAUUUCCUCGCUCAAGCCGCUGAUGAAACUUGACACGAAGUAACCCUCUGUAAGUGUGGGAUUGGAGAUCAACAUGAGGCCUUUAAUUCCUCAAACUUUUGUUGGUAGACCUGCACAGAUCCUCCUUGUUUCAGUUUAUUAAAUUCUUCUACUACGUCCAACAUUCCUUUCUCCCCAAAUCUUCCACACAUUCCUUCCACAAAUCUUCCCAAGAGCACUCGUCUUUCACUCCCAUCCACCCCUGGUACCAUGCAUCCCCCACAUCGUUAAGGUAGGCCACAACAAUUGUUACCUUGUGUUGUUCGGCCACGUUAUAGAGACGAAACACUCUCUCACAACGCCUCACCCACCAUUGCGGAUUCUGGCCAUCAAAUAAAGGAAUCUCCAUACGCAACAUCAACGUCUCGCUCUAGUUCGAUCCUUGUGCUACGCCUGAUCUCCUGACGCUCGCGUUUUCUUCCAUCAUUGGUUGCUAUGUUUCUAGUUUCGCAGAUCCCUCCGAUCUGCUAUUACCCCCUAGAUCAUUUAGGAACGGUUCCGAAUGCUCCCUCAAAGGGAACUCCAGAGAGAUUUGUACCUGAGUUUGGCGUGAAGCAUCAGCAUAAACUGAUGCAUGUGAUCCCGGAGAGUUUGGUUCUGUUCUCUCAUCUGCUUCUCUAACCGAGCAGUCUGUGAUCGACUCUCCUCCCGCCACAAGUUCACUGCUCCAUCGAUCCUUCUUUCCACCGAAUUUUCAAACGUCUCCAUCUAGUUCUGCAUCUCUGAUACCGACGCCGUCACUUGCUGGAGUUGCGCUUCCAUAUGCUUCAUCCGAGUUCCGUCUGCCAUGGCCCUCCUGAUCGUCCAUGAACGUGCUCUGAUACCAGAUUGUCAGAUCUCCAAUAUGGCAAUGGUUCCUCCUACAAUUCAGAAGGAAUUGCGCGUGAAUGAGAAACCCGAAGGAAGUGAAAUUAGAAGGAGAGAGAUAGAGAUAGAGAGAGAGAUUAGUGAGGGAAAAAUGUGAUUCAAUUGUAUUUUCAGAUACCCGCUUUAGUGGUAUGAGCUGCCUUAUAUACCCUCCUCAAGAAGGUGCCAAUCAUUUGAAUUACAAGCAGCUAACUACUAGCUAACUACUAGCUUCUACACACUUCUAUACUCCAACCGCCUACCCCCUUUAUUACAACAUUACCCCUUCGACUAAUAGGCGCCCUUGCCCUUGUCCGUGACAGUCUAUUACUUUUUAAAUGGCCAGGUUUGCAAUAUUGCAGUUCUAUGAAAGUAACAUUAUUUCAUCCAUCAUAAUAUAAUUAGGGCACUAACGCAUUAAAUACAUAAUUUCAGUAAUGAAUAAAUUAUAUGACAUAUAUACAAGUUCACGAGUCAAGAAAGAUCAUAAUCCAAUAUAUAAGAAAAAUUUAGAAACAUUAAUUAUAAUCUUAAUUUCACAAAAAAAAGGCCAAAAAGAAAAGAAAAAGAGUCUAGCAUAUUUAACUUCAACUCAAUCAUUACCAUUCAGCAGGCCACGUGGCAAACAAGUACUUUGAUAUCUGUUGCAAGUUAUCACAACUGUAAAUGCCACAUGGCCUAUCUGCCACCUAUUUUGGCACAGUAUUUUGUGCUGUUCAACAAGGUUUUAUGUUAAUUCUUCAAUUGCAUGCCCAACAUGGAUAUCACAACCAUAUGAUGUAACUAUGCUUCAUAUGAUAAAGGCAGUGCUUCCUCCUGGAAAAUAGUUUUCUCUUUCAUUUCUUUGUUUUCUUAUGGUUAUUUUGUUGGAAUAGAAGUGCUAUGGCACACACCAAGAGGGGGGUGAAUUGGUAUAUAAAAAUUAUUUUUUCUUAAAAAUUCUUUUGAUAAAAAGGAGAUGUCGUCUAUGAAGACCACAGUUUCGUUAAACCUCAAGACCUUGAAAUGGCACGAUGAGGUUUCAACCGUAUAAAGACAAUCUCGUCUUGACAAUGGAGAACAUAAGAUUGAAAAAUAUGAAAUAUGAAAGGUUAAAUAUUUAAAUCAAGUGAGGAAUAUAGAGAUGUUUGGAAAGAUAAAGAUCAAGCACAAGAGAACACAAAGAUUUAUAGUGGUUCGGGUUAACCCAAGUCUAAUCCACUAUCUUAGCUCCUCACUGAGGAUUUUUCAAACAAUCCACUAAAACCUCCUACUUAACCAAGUAAGCCCUCUACUCCAAGACUAGAAAAUUACAAAUCUCUUGCUUAUACAAGCAAACCUUCUAGCACCUAGCUAGGUAUUUCAACCCCUUAUUUCAAAGAGUAAGUCCUCUAGCACAACAAACUAGGAAAAUAGGAACGAUACAAAUGAAAGAGAGAAGUCAAGAGUUAACACUCUUAGUUACUGCAGAAAAUUAAUCCUAGAGAGAAUAAAAUCGUAUAUUAUUUCCCUUGGAUAUGAUAUCAAUAUAUACACAAGACAUCUACAUGAUGUAGGAGUCUAAUCUAAUAUACUUUACAAGAUAUUUAUGUUAUCUAAAAUACUAAAAAUCUAUUUCUAAAAUUUAGGAGAAUAAUUAGAAUUAGAUAAUCUUAUUUUUAUAAAUCUUAUCUCCUAUAAUUUAGGAGUCUUCACGGCAGUCCUCUUUUUGAAUUCUUCUUUAUCUUCUACACUCCCCCUUAAGCUGAGUUGAAUAUAUUAUUUAGGCCAAACUUGGUACCUAGCUCAUCAAACACAAUUCUUAGUAGUGGCUUAGUUAGAAUAUCUGCAAUUUGGCUAUUUGUGGAAGUAUAGUUUAGUUGAAAAACUCCUUCUUCUAACUUCUCUUUAAUGAAGUGCUUGUCAAUUUUGACAUAUUUUGUUCGGUCAUGGUGGAUUGGGUUUUUGGCAAUACUAAUAGCCGAUUGGUUGUCACAUAAUACUUGUAUUGGUUGUGCCAUAGAUACCUGUAACUCUUGUAGCAAUCGUUUUAGCCACAUAUCCUCACAGAACCCAUGGGCCAUGGCCCUAAAUUCAGCCUCUGCGCUGCUCCUAGAUACCACAGAUUGCUUCUUACUUUGCCAAGUAACUAAAUUUCUCCAAACAAAUGAGCAAUAUUCGGAGGUUGAUCUUCUAUCACAAAUUAAUCCUGCCCAAUCAACAUCACUAUAAAUCUUCACCCCUUGAUUAACAGUUUUCCUGAACAUUAGCUCUUUGCCUGGUGUCAUCUUAAGAUAUCUCAGAAUCCGAUAUACAGCUUCCAAAUGUCCUUCUCUAGGAUCAUUCAUGAAUUGGCUUACCACACUCACGGGAAAGCCUAUAUCUGGUCUUGUAUGAGACAAGUAUAUAAGCUUUCCUACUAAUCUUUGAUAUCUUCCUUUGUACAUUGGAGCACUUUCUUUGCCCUUAUCCAGCUUUAAAGUGGUUUCUAUAGGUGUAUCAGCUGGUUUGCAUCCCAACAUUCCUGUUUCAGUAAGGAGAUCUAGGAUAUACUUUCGUUGAGAAACUGAUAUUCCUUCUUUGGACCUUACAACUUCCAUACCUAAGAAAUGCCUUAGGCUUCCAAGAUCUUUGAUUUCAAAUUCUUUUGCCAACACUUCCUUAAGCUUCCUGAUUUCAGAAAUAUUGUCUCCUGUAACAAUUAUAUCAUCAACAUAUACAAUAAGUAUGGAUAUUUUACCUCCCAAGGAGUUUUUGAUGAAUAAGGUGUGGUCUGCCUGGCAUUGAACAUAUUCAUAUUUCUUGAUUGCCUUUGUAAAUUUCUCGAACCAGACUCUAGGAGACUGUUUGAGCUCAUACAGUGAUUUCUUUAGUUUGCAUACCUUGUUCCUUGUGAGAUUAGUUUCAAAUCCAUGAGGGAUUUCCAUAUAUACCUCUUUUUCGAGGUCUCCAUUUAAAAAAACAUUCUUCACAUCCAAUUGGUAGAGUGGCCAAUCUAGGUUUAUAGCUAGGGAUAGUAAGACUCUAAUUGUAUUCAAUUUUGCUACUGGAGCAAAAGUCUCUUGGUAAUCUAUACCAUAAGAUUGAGUGAACCCUUUUGCCACUAGACGAGCUUUAUACCUGUCAAUUUCUCCAUUUUCUCGGUAUUUAAUUGUAAAUACCCACUUGCAGCCUACAAGAUGUUUUCUGAGAGGUAAUUCAGUAAUUACCCAAGUCCCAUUUCUCUUCAAAGCCUUCAUUUCCUCAAGAACUGCCUCCUUCCACUUAAGAUGUUGAAAAGUCUCCUGAACUGUUCUAGAAACCUGCACCUUAUUGAUAUUUGAUAUAAAAACACUGAAAUUAGGUGAGAGACCUUUGUAGGAAAUGUAGUUGUGAAUGGGGUGUUGAGUGCAUGAUCCUACUCCCUUUCUCAAUGCUAUAGGCCAAUGUAAAUCCUCAUCCAAGGCUGAAUUUUCUGAAAUUUCAGAAUUUUGUCCAGCAGGCAUAGUCUUCCCCUUUUCCAACAAUUCCAGAUUCGGAUCAAAAUUUUUGUCAGUCUCAGAACAUGUUGGUUCCCCACAUUCUUUCUGUUUAGACAUUUUUCUAGAAUAAACUUGAAGUUCAUGAGGAGAGGAAGACGGAUUUAUAGAGUUUACAGGUGGCAGUGGCUGAUUUUCAGGCUAUUGUUGUUGGUUAGAUAGAGAAAUUCCAAGUUCUGGUUGUUGGUGGUUAGGCUGAGGAUCCCAAAAAGAAUCCCAAAACUAAUAUUCUUGAGGAUUUGAAGUAUUCUCCCCCUGAAUAUCGGUUUUGGGAUAAUAAGGUUGUGUUUCAAAAAAGGUUAUAUCCAUGGAUGUGAAAAAUCGCUUAAGGCUGGGAGAAUAACAUUUGUAACCUCGUUGGUGUGGCGAAUAGCCAAGGAAUAUACACUUGAUGGAUUUUGGGUCAAGUUUACUCCGAAAUUGAGAGUGAAUGUGAACAAAUGAGGUGCAGUCAAAAAUCUUGAGAGGAAGGUGAGAAAGCACCUGGGUGUGAGGAAAAGAGGCAAGAAGAAGCUGACUAGGAGUUUGAAAUUUGAGGAUGCGUGAGGGCAUUCUAUUGAUAAGGUAGGUAGUCGUAAAAAUAGCUUCACCCCAAAAAUGUUUAGGAGCAUGAGAAGAAAAUAAUAAGGAUCGGGCCACUUCCAAUAGGUGUCUAUUUUUGCGUUCUGCAAUCCCGUUUUGUUGAGGUGUAUCAACACAAGAACUUUGAUGAAUGAUGCCUUGUUGGGAUAGAUAAGUGCCUAGAAUUGAAUUGAAAUAUUCUUUAGCAUUAUCUAUUCUAAGAACUUGAAUGUUAGCAUUGAAUUGUCUUUUCACCAUGGUAUGGAAGGUUUGAAAAAUGUGGCCAGCUUCAGAUUUCUCUUACAUGAGGAAAACCCAAGUAAGACGGGUAUGGUCAUCAAUGAAAAAAUAAACCAACAAGCCCCGAUAACAUUUUUUACUUUAGAAGGCCCCCACACAUCACUAUGAAUCAAAGAAAACGGAUAGGAUGGAGUAUCCUUGAGACUAGGAUAAUGAGUCCGAACAUGCUUGGAAUAUUGACAAAUUUCACAUUGAAACAUGUGUAAAUCUGAAUUCUUGAACAAAGAAGGAAACAAUUUCUGAAGAUAAGCAAAGUUUGGAUGUCCUAAUCUAUAGUGCCACAACAUAAUUGCACUAUUAUUGGAAUGAAAACUAGAGAAACAAAGAGGUGAAGUGGAAUGACAAUAGCUGGAUUUUACUUCAGUUUUUCUGGAGUCAGUCCCUUGAAAAUGUAGAGGCCCGCACAUGCCUCAGCACUGCCAAUCAUCUUUCCCGAAAUCCGAUCCUGAAAUUCACAUAUAUCUCUUGAGAAUUUUGCAACACACUUCAUAUCAAUAGUGAGCUUACUAACAGAUAGAAGGUUGCAGUCCAGAUUAGGCACAAAUAGGACAUCUUUUAGUGUCAAACCAGUGGACAGAAUAGCUGAUCCAAUUCCUGCUACUUUUGCUAAUGAUCCAUCAGCAAUCCUUACCUUCCACUCUUUGUCACAUGGCUGAAUAUUUGUUAACAAUCCACCAUUACUAGUCAUGUGAUCGGAAGCUCCUGAGUCAACAAUCCAUAGGAUAGAUAGCUUACUAUUAGCAAUAAAAGCAUGUAGAGGAUUACCUUUGUGAGCUAUAGAACCUGCUGCCACUGUAGAACCCUGCAACUGGGUUUUCCCAAAAUUAUGCUACAGCCACUCCAUCUGCUCUUUGCUAAAUAAGCUUGAGUUUGAGGAAAAAGUUGUCUCUUCGGUUGCUGUAAAAUUAUCCUUACUCUUCCUUUCAUGUGCUGGUUUCCAAUCCAGGGGCUUGCCAUGGAUAUCCCAGCAUGUAUCCUUUGUGUGAACAAGUUUGUGGCAAUGAUCACACCAAGGACGACCCUUCUUCUGCUUGGGAUUUGAUAGGUUGCCUCCUCGGGUAAAUAGGACAAGAAUGUUCUAGGCCUGAAUUUGAGGGCUUCAACAUUAGUUUCAGCCUACUUUCUUCUCUACGAACCUCAGCAAACGCCUCCCUGAGGCUUGGUAGAGGUUUUGUGCCUAGAAUCCUACCUCACACCAUCUAGUUUUUUAUUUAAACCAAUCAAGAAUUUAUACAGCUGCUAAAUCUCCACUAUUUCUUUGUAUUUGGCUAAAUCUUCAGUGCCCUUCCAUUGGAUAGUAUCACACUUAUCCAAUUGAAGCCAAAACUUAUUCAAAGAAUUGAAAUAUUGAGUGACUUGGGACUCACCUUGCCUUAAAUCAUUGAGAACACUUUCUAUCUCAAACAACUUGGAAGUAUUCUCAACAUGGGAGUAAGCUUCCUUAACAGCCUCCCAAAUUUCUUGGGCUGUAUUGUAUAACAAGAAAUUCUCACCUAUCUCAUUGUUCAUUGAGUUAAUCAGCCAAGACAUCACCAUGUUGUUUUCGGCCUUCCAAAUCCGGUAUUGUGCUUCAUCCUCCUUCGGUUUGCUGACUGCUCUAGUGAGAUUGGCCCAUUCCAAAUCUCUCAUCCUGAUAAAGUGAAAAUUAAAGUUAGAGUUCAACUAAACCUCCAUGGAAUUGUUGCCAUUGAUUCAGCUUCACUAAUAGAAGAUCAUUGGGAUGAUUCAAGGAAUAGUGCUUCG